rnacentral:lncRNA from 1 species
AGCAAUAGCUACUAUGUUGGUUCAAUCUGAAUUUUAUUUUCCAUUAUAUUUCCUUCUUCCGAUCUUUAAUUCUCUUGUUAUCCAGUAAAAUAACAGUUUGUUCUCUAACUUGUCUAUCCAAUACAAAAACAUGAGUUACAUUCAAAGUACAGGGAACAUCAUUAGUGCAACAAAGAGGUUGCAGCAAAAAGUCGAGGUUAUCACUUGGAAAGAAGAAAUUGUAUAAUAUUCUUCCAAAUGAAGAAGAGGUACUAUUCUAUACUGUAGAAAAAUCAAAUAAUUCGAUGAUGCUUUGGUUUCUUAGUAUUAUCGAUUGUAGUGUGUGGCAAUGAUGAAGAGCUUAGCAAUUAUUCUGCAAAUCUCAAAUGUGUAUACUUAAUCCCUUCCAUAUUUUGAUGGUGUAUGUCUUCAAACUAGAUAUUAAAUGUUGGCCAACACCUAUUUGAGAUCUGUUUUUUCUUGUUUGUAGUUCAUCUAGAUUUGGAGCAAAAAACAAGAUUCGUGAUCUAAAAGAGAUGUAAGAGCCCUUACUCUAGUAGAGGUAUGGUCUCUUACUUUUGUUUUCAUCAUCUUCUCCGAAGUAUUAUCAUGAAUACUUUGUUGUCAAGUUGUCUCCUGUAUAUGACCAUCAUAUGUCAUGUGUCCUCAAGAUCAUGAUAUCUGGGUUGAGCAAGUAGCUGCUAUGUCGGUUUAGUUUGAACGUAGCCACUCUUUAUAUUUUGUUGGGAUCUUUUCCAGUACCACAAUAAAUUGUUCUCUCGUUUUGUUUGUCCAACCUUUUGGUUUCAUUCUCUUUCAUUAUGUUGGGAUUUAGAAAGCAUGGAGCGGUAGCAUGGCAGGCACAAGGAACAUCAUGAAGACAAAGACAGAGAGCUUUCAACAAUAACAUGAGGUUAUCUAUCAAGGCAAGAAACUGUACCAUAUUAUUUUGAAAUCAAAUAACUGAUUGAUACUGUAAUUUGAGCUUGACUUGCAAGAAACCUCUAAUGCGGCAAACCAGAAAAAUAGGGACUAGCCCGUGUGGCAUUUGUAUUAAGAAGGAAACACCCUAGGCACACAAGAAACCUCUAAUAACUUAUGUACUCAAGCUGUUGUAGAUAGUCAUGUCAUAUUAACCUAGAAGCGCAUGCUCAAGUUUUUAGUAUAAUUGAUUUUUUUCAGUUAUGUUUGUAUCAAAUUUUAUAUAGGGUUCUAGAACAAAUCACUCAAUUAUUUUGUCAAAUUCAUUAAGUUCAGUUGAAAAAAACAACAACUUAGGUAUUAUACCCAUGCUAAUGUGAGAAACUGAAAUAACAAAUAGGUUAUUGUAGCAAAACUUAAGAACAUUUUGAAAAAAAUAGGUAGUAUUCCUGAAACUGAGAUAAGAAAUAGGUUAUUGUAGCAAAAUUGAAGAACAUCUUGAAGAAAUAGGUAUUAUUCCUGUUACUUGUUAUCUUACUGUAGCAAAUCAUUGACACUUGCACAUUUUACAAGUUCAAUCAUGUCCAGUGCAGGGUAUCCUUGGAGAACAUCUUGCAACCAAAGCUGUAGCAGAACCUUGUACAAAAUGAGGUCUCGAAUUUUGAAUAUUUGGUUGAUGCACCAGUGUCUUUGGUCUCUGUUUUUGUUGACCAUUGAUCCCUGUAUAUAACUUCUAUGCAAUUUGAUCAGAAGUUAUGUGAAUUCGCAACUCUGUGAUUAAUGUAAACUAUUGAUGUGUCUAUGCUUUGAAUAUUUUGAGUGGAACAACCAUGUGGAAAACCAUUAGGAGUACUAUUUUUUUUGUUUAUUGUUUUCUUAUUUUUCCUGACGGUAAUGCCUGACAGGAGUAGACCACUGCACUGAUUUGCUAAACCUGAUGCCC